CCUACGGGGGGCUGCAGUGAGGAAUAUUGGUCAAUGGACGAGAGUCUGAACCAGCCAAGUAGCGUGAAGGAUGACUGCACUAUGGGUUGUAAACUUCUUUUAUAAAGGAAUAAAACGAGGCACGUGUGCCUUUUUGCAUGUACUUGAUGAAUAAGGAUCGGCAAACUCCGUGCCAGCAGCCGCGGUAAUAAGGAGGAUCCGAGCGUUAUCCGGAUUGAUUGGGUUUAAAGGGGGCGUAGAUGGGUUGUUAAGUCAGUUGUGAAAGUUUGCGGCUCAACCGUAAAAUUGCAAUUGAUACUGGCAGUCUUGAGUACAGUUGAGGUAAGCGGAAUUCGUGGUGUAGCGGUGAAAUGCUUAGAUAUCACGAAGAACCCCGAUUGCGAAGGCAGCUUACUAAACUGUGACUGACAUUGAUGCUCGAAAGUGUGGGUAUCAAACAGGAUUAGAUACCCCUGUAGUC
rnacentral:rRNA from 1 species